rnacentral:rRNA from 1 species
UGGGGAAUCUUGCACAAUGGGGGCAACCCUGAUGCAGCGACGCCGCGUGAGCGAUGAAGCCCUUCGGGGCGUAAAGCUCUUUCGACCGGAACGAUAAUGACGGUACCGGGAGAAGAAGCUGCGGCUAACUACGUGCCAGCAGCCGCGGUAAUACGUAGGCAGCAAGCGUUGUUCGGAGUUACUGGGCGUAAAGAGUGCGUAGGCGGUUUUCUAAGUUCGGUGUGAAAUCUCCCGGCUUAACUGGGAGGGUGCGCCGAAGACUGGGAAGCUGGAGUGUGGGAAAGGCAGGCGGAAUUCCUGGUGUCGCGGUGAAAUGCGUAGAUAUCAGGAGGAACACCGGCGGUGUAGACGGCUUGCUAGACCAUAACUGACGCUGAGGCACGAAAGCGUGGGUAGCAAACA